rnacentral:misc_RNA from 1 species
UUCUAAUUCCCUUCCUCCCAAAACCUAACAUUGUGACACUUGUCCCUUUGCAGCUCCAAAAUUUGUAGAUGAUUAGGUCAUAUUUCUAAGUCUAGAGUUUCAAAGGAUUAGGGAAUUUAUGCAGCUGGAGCUGCUAUAAAAUAUCUCCAGCACAACCCAAAUCUUCCCUGCUAUUGCCAUUCUAUUUCUAUUUCAUUCUCUUGGGGUAUGCGCAAAGCUUGAGUACUAGAGCUACCCUUACCUUAUUGGUUUUACUAUCAUUGAGUCAUUUUAGCUUAUUACUACCUAUGAUUCUUAUUGUUGGAAAGUAAAGGAGUUGUGUAGCAGAGAAAGCUAAAGCAAAUGAGUAGAUGGGGACCAAAGGCAGGACAAAUUAAUUGCUUUCAGUUUUUGUUCAUUCCAGCUUAUAUUAAAAUAUAUGGUUGGUGGCUUGCAGAUUGCAGAUACAGUACACUUUUUUAAGCAAUCAUUCACCAAUGGGCCACCGUAACUCUUCUCUACUGUACUGCUACCUUCUUUGUAGAAUUUUGACGUGCGUAAGUUCACUCGAACCUACAUUAACCAUUAUAUUUAUAAGGAAAAUAUAUUCAGAAUUAAUUGUUAGAUAAUCAUAACUAUAUAAAAAGAAAAGAGAGAUAGGGAGAGAGAAGCAUAUAUGGAAGUUUCUUAUAUCAAACUGUGCAAGUAAUUCUGUUUGCUGUAAUCUAUUCAUUUGUCUUUGAGUAUAUAAUCAACCAAAAAAGAAAAAGAAAAGUUUGUUUUCUGCUUGUAUAUAUUUCAAGGGAUGGAUCAAUAUGAAAAGACUCCAAUGCAAUCGAAGACAUUAACAUGCCAUGUUAUGGUCAAUGAUUGUCAUACAAAAGCAUCCUUGUGGGGAACCAUUAGUGUCUCCUAUGGAAGAAAUUAUAUAGUAGAAAUAUUAUUUUAUAUAAAAUUAAAGUCUAAUUAUAUUGAAAAUUCUAAUUUUUUUAUGAUUAAUUUAAUUAUUUAAUUUUAGCAUAAUUAUCAAUUUUUUAUAUUUAAAAAAAAUUAUUUAAAUAUGAAAUUAAAUUUAAAAAAGUGUGCUUUAUUAACGUGACAUGUCAGGUGAUAUUUUUUAUUAUUAAAUAGUGAAAUCUCCCUCUCUUUAAUAUAAUCUUUUAAUUUUGACAUAAUCGGCCAAUUUUUCAAAAGUAAAAAAAAAUUUAUCUAAAUUUGAAAUGAAGAAAGUGUAUGUGAGAUGUUAAGUGAUAAUUUUUAUUAUUAAAUUGUGAAAUCUCACAUACCAUAUCACUUAAAAUAAAAAAAAAAGUUCUCUCUCUCUAAGAGGUUUCUUUAUUACCUCUUUGCUGUUCUAACAAAGAGUUUUGUUCCUGGGUUUGGCAAAUGAAGAAGACCUAUAAUUAUAGGUAAUCUGGUUAAGAACUACCAGUAAUGACAACAACAAAUAACUCAGUUUUGAAGCACGACAGGCAAUAACUUUAAUUUGGAGUCUCUCCCAAAACCUCAAAUCAUUUACUUCUGCAAAAAAUGUCGGAAAAUUGUUGCAUAAACGGAGAAUAUAGAUCCCCAUGAGGGUGGAAAAGGAUAACAAUGCUUUAAAUGGAAAAAAAGGGUGGCAAAAAGGAAGCAGCUGAAUGCUCUUCCAUAUUUGUU